AGCACGAAAGAAACAUGCCACACACUACCACACUCCGCCACGAGAGCCGCCAUGCUCGUACGCAUCAACACUCUCCUCCAAGGAUACUCCGGCAUCCGCUUCGAGAUCCUCGAGGCCAUAACCAGCUUCCUCAACACCAACAUCACUCCUUCCCUCCCUCUCCGCGGCACCAUCACCGCCUCCGGAGACCUCGUCCCCCUCUCCUACAUCGCCGGCCUCCUCACCGGCCGUCCCAACUCCAAAGCCACCGGUCCCAACGGCGAAGCCUUGAACGCAGAGGAAGCCUUCAAGAAGGCUGGAAUCCCCUCCGGAUUCUUUGACUUGCAGCCCAAGGAAGG
rnacentral:lncRNA from 1 species